rnacentral:lncRNA from 1 species
AUCUAACAUCCAAUUAAAAGAGGAGUCAUGGCUCAAUCCUCAAGAAAGAAACAUGAUUAUAUGGAGUCUUUGCCUUAUGUGGACACAGUAUGCAUUUUGGAAGGAAAAGUCAGUCUUCUGGGAAAGUGUGGAAAAUCCAAAUUGGACAGAACUCAUUGAAAAAGGCAAGAUUUCAGUCACUGGAGCUGUAUUUCUCAACUGCAUUUUGGAAACUUUUGCCAGCACAUUCUUAAGACAGGGAGCUCAGAAGGGAAUUUGAAUCAUGGAGAUGCUACUAAAGGAACAGUAUGGUGCCCCCUUA